rnacentral:rRNA from 1 species
AAGAGACAGCAGCCGCCACGGGAAUACGGAGGGUGCAAGCGUUAUCCGGAUUUAUUGGGUUUAAAGGGUCCGUAGGCGGAUCUGUAAGUCAGUGGUGAAAUCUCACAGCUUAACUGUGAAACUGCCAUUGAUACUGCAGGUCUUGAGUAAAUUUGAAGUGGCUGGAAUAAGUAGUGUAGCGGUGAAAUGCAUAGAUAUUACUUAGAACACCAAUUGCGAAGGCAGGUCACUAAGAUUUAACUGACGCUGAUGGACGAAAGCGUGGGGAGCGAACAGGAUUAGAUACCCGCGUAGUCCCUGUCUCUUAUAC